GGCGAACGCUGGCGGCGUGCCUAAUACAUGCAAGUCGAACGCACUCUCGUUUAGAUUGAAGGAGCUUGCUCCUGAUUGAUAAACAUUUGAGUGAGUGGCGGACGGGUGAGUAACACGUAGGUAACCUGCCCUAAAGUGGGGAUAACAUUUGGAAACAGAUGCUAAUACCGCAUAAAACCUAACACCGCAUGGUGUAGGGUUGAAAGAUGGUUUCGGCUAUCACUUUAGGAUGGACCCGCGGUGCAUUAGUUAGUUGGUGAGGUAAAGGCUCACCAAGACCGUGAUGCAUAGCCGACCUGAGAGGGUAAUCGGCCACACUGGGACUGAGACACGGCCCAGACUCCUACGGGAGGCAGCAGUAGGGAAUCUUCCACAAUGGACGAAAGUCUGAUGGAGCAACGCCGCGUGAGUGAAGAAGGUUUUCGGAUC
rnacentral:rRNA from 1 species